CAGUAGCCGCGGUAAUACGGAGGGUGCAAGCGUUAAUCGGAAUUACUGGGCGUAAAGCGCACGCAGGCGGUCUGACAAGUCAGAUGUGAAAUCCCCGGGCUUAACCUGGGAACUGCAUUUGAAACUGUCAGGCUGGAGUCUUGUAGAGGGGGGUAGGAUUCCAGGUGUAGCGGUGAAAUGCGUAGAGAUCUGGAGGAAUACCGGUGGCGAAGGCGGCCCCCUGGACAAAGACUGACGCUCAGGUGCGAAAGCGUGGGGAGCAAACAGGAUUAGAUACCCGAGUAGUCCCUGUCUCUUAUAC
rnacentral:rRNA from 1 species